GAUGAAGAACGCAGCGAAAUGCGAUAAGUAAUGUGAAUUGCAGAAUUCAGUGAAUCAUCGAAUCUUUGAACGCACCUUGCACCCUUUGGCAUUCCGAAGGGUAUGCUCGUUUGAGUGUCAUUGUACUCUCACACUUCCAAUUCUUUGGAUUGGGAGCGGUGGACUUGGGUGCUGCUGCUUACCGUGGCUCACCUCAAAUGUGUUAGUGCAACCGUUGGUUAGACAUAGUACAGCGUGAUAAGUAUCUUCGCUGGCGCCUCACCAGAGGGUGGCUGAUCAGGGCUUUGUGCUUCCAAUCGUCUUCGGACAAACGCUGACAACUUGACCUCAAAUCGAGUAGGACUACCCGCUGAACUUAAGCAUAUCAAUAAGCGGAGGA
rnacentral:misc_RNA from 1 species